AUCUCGUCUCCUCGCACCGACGCCUCCACAACUCCACUCCUCGUCUCCUCGCACCGUUCCCACAGGCACGCAGCGUUCGUAGACAAGCAUGUCGCAGCGCCGCCGGAGGCCGAUGUCAACCGCCGGAGGCGACCUUGGCGGUGGCGCCCCGCCCCCCGCGCCGGCGGAGCCCGGCCCCCCGCCCGCCCCUCAUCUUCGGCCCGGAGGGAGCAGCAGCUGAGCAGGGACGGGCGACCCUGGCGGCGGCACCCUGGCACCCGCGCCGGCGGCGCUCGGACCCCCACCCGCCCCUCCUCUUCGGCUCGGAGGGAGCAGCAGCCGAGCAGGGACGGGCGACCCUGGCUGCGGCGCCCCACCCCCUGCAGCACAUAAACAAAAAUGAAGAGUGGAAUUGUUGGCAGUAGCAUUUUUGCAAUGUGGGAAAAGGCUUCAAAGGCAAGGAAAACAGAUGAAGUAUCAACACCGAAUCAGACAGCAGAUGCAUCCAGUACUUGUACUUCUCCUGUUCAUCUUGAGAGCAAUUUGCAAUUGGUGUUAUGGCAAGAACCGGAAAGUAGAGGAGAAACCUCAACACCUCAUGUAGAAGAUGAUGAAUCUAUUGAUGAAGAUGAUGAACCGAUGCAAGCAGAUUUCGAGGCACUGGAACAUGAUCCUAGAAAGCGGAUUCCCAUCUCAGUGUAUGCUGUCAGUGACCAAGAUAGAGUAAGAACGAGAUAUAUUGAGAUGGGGUCAUGUCAGCCAAAGAAUCAUAAGUUCAAGUUACAAAUAAAAGUGGAAAAGAGCGUCGCUUUUGCCGUGUUUGGUUCAAACAAUUUCCAUGGAUUGAGUAUAGUGUGGAAAAACAUAGAGCUUUCUGCUUUGUUUGCUAUUUGUUCAAGGAUAAGACAAGAUGUCCCGGUGGAGAUGCUUUUGUGAAGAGGGAUUUAAUAACUGGAACAUGAAGUCGAGAUUGAAGAAACAUGAAGGUGAGGUUAGUAGUGCUCAUGCUGAAGCUCAAGAGAAGUAUGAUAGGUUCACUACACCACAAACAUCAAUUCGGGAGUCUAUUGCUUCAAACACCUCACAAUACAAGGCUUUGUAUAAACAGCGUUUGACAUGGACACUCAAGUGUGUGAGAUUUCUGUUGCGCCAAGGCUUGGCAUUUAGAGGACAUGAUGAAAGUGAAGACUCACUAAAUAAAGGAAAUUUCCUUGAGCUUCUAAAUUGGCUAGCAGGAAAUUUUGAAGAGGUUGACAGGGUUGUUCUCAAGAAUGCUCCACAGAACUGCAAGAUGACUCGCCAUGAUAUACAACAAGAGGUGAUAAAAUGUUGUGCACAAGAGACUACUAAACUAGUCAUUGAAGAACUUGAUGGUGGUCAUUUUGCAAUACUUGCAGAUGAGUCUACUCAUGUGUAUCAGAAUGAACAGUUGGUUGUUUGCUUGCGUUAUGUUGAUAAGAAUGGAAGGGCGGUUGUAAGAUUUCUUGGUCUUGCUCAUGUUGAAGAUACUACCGCUUUGACACUAAAAGCCGCAAUUCAGAAAAUGCUUAUGUAAUACAAUUUGACCUUUGCAAUGGUUCGUGGGCAAGGAUAUGAUGGAGCUAGUAAUAUGAGAGGUAAUGCUAAUGGUCUGAAAAAACUGAUUAUGGAUGAGUCCCCUUCUGCCUACUAUGUUCAUUAUUUUGCCCAUCAACUACAGUUAACUCUUGUUGUUGUUGCUAA